rnacentral:misc_RNA from 1 species
GAAAUGCGAUAAGUAGUGUGAAUUGCAGAAUUCAGCGAAUCAUCGAAUCUUUGAACGCACAUUGCGCCCUUCGGUUAUUCCUUAGGGCAUGCCUGUUCGAGCGUCAUUUCAACCUUCAAGCCUGGCUUGGUGUUGGGCGCUGUCCCGCCUCCGCGCGCGGACUCGCCCCAAAUGAAUUGGCAGUCGCACCCUCCGAGCCGCGAGCGCAGCACAAGUCGCGCGGGCGGAACUCUGGGGGGACGGACGCUCCACAAGACCCUUUCUCAGUCUUGACCUCGGAUCAGGUAGGGAUACCCGCUGAACUUAAGC